rnacentral:lncRNA from 1 species
GCUGGAAGUAAAGAGUAUAUAAUCUCCUUCAUCUAAUUUCUCUGAGUAGGGAUUUCUGAAGGUCCGGAAGGUAAGAAUCCUUUAUUUUUUACCAUGUCUGUAGAUGCAAGAAAAAGAAAACUGACAUCAUAUGGUCGAACUAUACACUUGAUGACUGUAAGCAUGAGGGAUGCCUAUACCAGAUAUACACUGCCAGAUAGACGAGCAUAAAUGCAAGUAUGAAAUUAUCUUGCAAAUAAUAUAUAGAAUGAAGAUGAAUGAUAUACUGUUCCUCAAAUUCAUGUCCAAAUGAAAUCACAAAAAGAAAAUCUGCAGGCACAGCAAAGCAGGGGGCAAAAGACGCAGUCGUUUAGUGCAGGGUACAUAAAGUGACAAGUCCCACAGAACACAUCUAUAAUGAGUUUAAGAAAAAAAUGAAGUGAGUCUAAGCAACGCAAUAAAAUACUUAUCUGAAUUAGAAAAAUAAUAAGAAGUUGAAGUGCAUGCUUAUCAUUAAAUUCUCCGUGGGGAUAAUUUAAUGUCAAGGUUCUCCUGUAAGCAUGCAAACCAAACAAAGCUGGUUCUCCCCCAUUUAUUUCAGGAUGAGCACCGUGGAAAAGGAUCAUUAUGAACAAGCUACUCAAUCUCACAAUGUAGUUCAAAUUUUACAAAAAUAGGAAACAUCCAUUGACAAAUAAGCAGCGAUCGCACAAAGGACAAGCAAGACAGGAGACCAAAAAUACAUUACCAGAUCAGUUAAGAGAACAAACAGGAACUUAGGAACAUAAAUUCAGCCAAAAUUUUUGGAUCACCCCCAAGCGGAUAGAAUUCCAAUCCAGCAGUCAAGACAUACUCUUUGAAAUUUGCAUGGGUUGCCAACCUCACUCGAUGGCCAAAAUCCUGCAU